rnacentral:rRNA from 1 species
AGUGAACGCUGGCGGUAGGCCUAACACAUGCAAGUCGAACGGCAGCACAGGAGAGCUUGCUCUCUGGGUGGCGAGUGGCGGACGGGUGAGGAAUACAUCGGAAUCUACUCUGUCGUGGGGGAUAACGUAGGGAAACUUACGCUAAUACCGCAUACGACCUACGGGUGAAAGCAGGGGAUCUUCGGACCUUGCGCGAUUGAAUGAGCCGAUGUCGGAUUAGCUAGUUGGCGGGGUAAAGGCCCACCAAGGCGACGAUCCGUAGCUGGUCUGAGAGGAUGAUCAGCCACACUGGAACUGAGACACGGUCCAGACUCCUACGGGAGGCAGCAGUGGGGAAUAUUGAACAAUGGGCGCAAGCCUGAUCCAGCCAUACCGCGUGGGUGAAGAAGGCCUUCGGGUUGUAAAGCCCUUUUGUUGGGAAAGAAAUCCAGCUGGCUAAUACCCGGUUGGGAUGACGGUACCCAAAGAAUAAGCACCGGCUAACUUCGCGCCAGCAGCCGCCGCGG